AAAAUGUCACCUGAUUUUAGUUGUCCCUCACUGAUUCAAGUAAUUUCCUUUAUUCAGGUGGAUCUGCCUGUUGGCGGAGAACCCUAGAAUGCAUGCAACCAUGCACAUCAUCUGGAGACACAGCAGGUCAUCCUCAGCAUUUAUACUCUGUCUCCUUUUGUGCCCCCAUGGACCAAGUUAAGAAGGUGUAGGCUUCAAAUCUGAAGACUGGUCACCACAAAAUUCAAAGAGACAAGGUCUUUGUCUGUUGCUCAGGAUGGAGUGUAGUGGUGCCAUAGCUCACUGUAAUCUUGAAUUUCUGGGCUACUGGCAUACACUACCAUGCUUGGGUUCGGGCCACAACAUCCGUGAGUUUAGCGGUUUUGGUCUCUUCCUUGUGACCUUCGGCUCUAGGAUGCUGCACAGCUCCUCUCUGCACUAUCUAUCAGAAUGUUGCUCUGCGUGCUUGAAAGUUUCCCCAAACAGAGGUACAUAAAAACAAACAGAGGUGAAACACAAAUCCCCUCAGCCCUG
rnacentral:lncRNA from 1 species